AAGCAGUACAGUGUUAGUGUACAUCUGUCAUGCCUGUUGUAUGUGAAAUCCAAGUUCUUGAUCAGGAUUAAGUGAGACUGGGUCACUUGACCAAGCAAAGGCAGCUCUGGAGAGACGCAAGAAAGCAUCUGAAGAGGGGGCACCACAGGCACGUGUUGAAGUGACAAGAGUGAACCCAGACAGCCUCACUGAUGAAAUCUUGAGAUCCACCAAUUUAGAACCACAAGAUGAAUCAGCAUCAGGCCUGCAGCUUUUUAUUGCAACGGAUGGUACAACUGCACUGGGCAGCCAUGAGGUGAAGAGUCAAAUGCCAGCAGGAGUAUUUAAGCAAGUGGUCAUGGAUUCAGAAAACAGGUAACACCCCAGUGGAGAAGUGGGGUGUUAGUUUAGACUGUACAGGAUCAUGAGAAUAAGUAUGUGUUUACCAAGACAAAAUAAAUGGGGGUGUAAAAUGUGACAUGUUUCUCUGAUUGACAGAAACUGAAACAAGACAAUAAACACUGUAUGCCAUUACAUGAGGCAUUACAGUUAAAAAAAAAAGUGGUUGUCUUUGGUUAAUUGCGAUUUAUAUGAUGUGUGAUUGAUUAUUUAUGAGCAGUUGUGUGUUAAAGGUCUUUGUUGCCCAGGUCACUUAAGGCAUUCAGUUUGAUUUUUUGUUGUAUGAGCAGGAUGCAUAGGAUUUAUGUUUCAUUGAAGAUGAUUGUUACAGAUGAAUGCUUUCUGAGGUUAGUAUCAAGCAUCAGAAAAGUCACACUUUUGUGUAAUGAAUCCAGUUUCAGGAAGAAACAUUGUUUGUAAAAAUUAUCCUCCUCCUCCUCUAAUUGUUUCAUUUUAUUUAAAUUGAGACACUGUUCUUACUAUAAAACCUUUUCUAUUCCUCCUCUGUGCUUUGUGUUAUAUUUCUAGAGCUAAUAAUCAUAUAUAUAUAAAACCUUUUUAUCCAGUCUUCCCCAUUUCUCCGUCUAUAAUCUGGUUGCUAGGUGCCUGUAAGUAGUUUUGUAGUGCAGAAGAGAUGUCUUUCUGCUGCUGUUUUGGUGGUAGGAACUGACUAAUGAAUAUAUAUAUAUAUAUGUGUGUUAUUUAUGUCAGCUGCUGUUUAAAUGCUUGGCAGCCAUUUAAUGCAUAAAUUGAUCCAUUCAGCAUUGUCAUGGUGGCAAACAGUAGAA